AGUCGAACGCUCUCUUCGGAGGGAGUGGCGGACGGGUGAGUAACGCGUGGGAAUAUGCCCUUUGGUACGGAACAACAGUUGGAAACGACUGCUAAUACCGUAUGUGCCCUACGGGGGAAAGAUUUAUCGCCAAAGGAUUAGCCCGCGUUGGAUUAGGUAGUUGGUGGGGUAAUGGCCCACCAAGCCGACGAUCCAUAGCUGGUUUGAGAGGAUGACCAGCCACACUGGGACUGAGACACGGCCCAGACUCCUGCGGGAGGCAGCAGUGGGGAAUCAUAGACAAUGGGCGCAAGCCUGAUCUUGCCAUGCCGCGUGAGCGAUGAAGGCCUUAGGGUUGUAAAGCUCUUUCACCGGUGAAGAUAAUGACGGUAGCCGGAGAAGAAGCCCCGGCUAACUCCGUGCCAGCAGCCGCGGUAAUACGGAGGGGGCUAGCGUUGUUCGGAAUUACUGGGCGUAAAGCGCGCGUAGGCGGGCUGUUAAGUCGGGGGUGAAAUCCCGGGGCUCAACCCCGGAACUGCCCUCGAUACUGGCAGCCUAGAGGUCGAGAGAGGUGAGUGGAAUUCCGAGUGUAGAGGUGAAAUUCGUAGAUAUUCGGAGGAACACCAGUGGCGAAGGCGGCUCACUGGCUCGAUACUGACGCUGAGGUGCGAAAGCGUGGGGAGCAAACAGGAUUAGAUA
rnacentral:rRNA from 1 species